UCCAAUGGAAGUGAGUCCUGGCCUUAUAGGAAGAGGGCCCUAUCUUUCUGCUAGAAUUGUUGAGCCGGAGGUAUAAACCUCAAGUUGCUCAGGUUUUGAGAAUGACACCAAGGCAGAGAGAAAUAGACCUGAGAUCGGAACUUACAGCUUCCUCAUGACUUGCUGAGUGUCUGGAUGCAGCCACACCUGAAGUUAUGUGGGUUAGGAAGGUAAGAAAGCGACUAAGACACCAAGGAAGAUGAGAAACACAUGGAACAGAGCCAAGCCCUGCUGACGUCCUAUUCCAGCCCAUGCUGGAUCCAUCAGCACCCAGACAACCUGCGUGUGCAAUACUCAUUGCCCCUGAGAGUCCAUAGUUGCUUGUUACACAGUGACAGCUGAUCAAUAAUCAGCCAAAUCCCAUCAUUUUAUAAGUGAGGAAACUAAGGCCUUGUGAAGGGAAGACGUUGUUCAAUGGCAUAUAGAUGAGGGAACCCUGGGUUGAGAGAUGUGGGAGUUUGGGAUUAGUCCCUGAUAUGGGGG